CUCUGCUGUACCCAAUGCAGACACUGGGAUGUUUAGAGCUCAAUCAUUAAUUGUGUGAUAUAAGAGCAGAGGACAUUAUCACCAAUGGCUAACUGACGCUUUCCUUGCUGAAUAGCUCAGCUCACCUCUGAUCGUGUGUGAUGUGAUCCUCUAGUCAAGUACUGUAGAUGAGCGGAUUGAACAUGAGAGUCACCACGGCAUAAAAGAGCACCACCACCUUGUCCUGCUUGGUCAAAUCUGUGGAGCUGGGCUGCAUGUGGGGAGCCAGGGCCAUCCCAUAAGACAUGGAGACCACAACGGGGUGGGAGGCACAGGUCCCAAAGGCUUUGUGGCAUCCCCCAGUGGAG
rnacentral:lncRNA from 1 species